CCGGUAUUAGCGGGGGUUUUAACCCCCGGUAUUAGCGGGGGUUUUAACCCACGGUAUUUGCGGGGGUUUUAACCCCCGGUAUUUGCGGGGGGUUUAACCCCCGGUAUUAGCGGGGGUUAAAACCGCCGGUAUUAGCCACAGAAACACAGACACACUCUCACACAAACAAGCAAGCACAAAUACACAUUCACACGCACACACACACAUACACAAACACACAAACACACAGACACAUACACACAUGCAUGCACACACAAACACACACACCUACCACCACAAACACAUACAAACAAACACACACACAUAUUACAGACACACCUGCCCAUACAAACACAUAUAAUACACACACAUACACAAACCUAUACCUACACUUCCAUCCACCUAUACACACAUAUCACCAACAUAAACACACGCAAACAC
rnacentral:lncRNA from 1 species